rnacentral:rRNA from 1 species
ACGAACGCUGGCGGCGUGCUUAACACAUGCAAGUCGAACGGAAAGGCCCUGCUUUUGUGGGGUGCUCGAGUGGCGAACGGGUGAGUAACACGUGAGUAACCUGCCCUUGACUUUGGGAUAACUUCAGGAAACUGGGGCUAAUACCGGAUAGGAGCUCCUGCUGCCUGGUGGGGGUUGGAAAGUUUCGGCGGUUGGGGAUGGACUCGCGGCUUAUCAGCUUGUUGGUGGGGUAGUGGCUUACCAAGGCUUUGACGGGUAGCCGGCCUGAGAGGGUGACCGGCCACAAUGGGACUGAGAGACGGCGCAGACGCGUACGGGAGGCAGCAGUGGGGAAUAUUGCACAAUGGGCGGAAGCCUGAUGCAGCAACGCCGCGUGCGGGAUGACGGCCUUCGGGUUGUAAACCGCUUUCGCCUGUGACGAAGCGUGAGUGACGGUAAUGGGUAAAGAAGCACCGGCUAACUACGUG